GGGAACUAAAUGUUGGCAAUGGUAAAGAUUUGUUAGAAACCUCUCAUGAUGAAGAAGAAGCAUCGUCUGUUGAUUCUCUGAAUCAUGUAGUCAUUGAUACUGCAACACUGAUGGCAAUAGUGUACUCCAUGGUAAAAAGUGACUACACAAUGCAAGAAAAAAUUGUUUCUUCCCUUAACCUCACUUCACCUUCCGGAGAAUUGGAUAGCUAUUCCAGCAUGUGGUUGUUGCGCCCUUACAUAGAUGAUGAAAUCAUGCAUAAAGCUUGGAAACUUGUCCGCUAACUCGUUCUAUAGCAGAAAAAGCUCUACUGUAUAGUUUUCUUUCUGGAAAUUUGCUUGAAGCCGUAGCAAAAUGCCGUUGGGAGAUAAGAAAAAAAGACAGACGAAAGGAAGUACCAGAAAUUAUAAGAGUUUUAGGGGUUGAAGAAGGUUAUGAUAUUGAAGAUUAUUAAUUAUUGGUUCAAGUAUGUAAUUGUGUUAUAGCAGUGAAUCAAGUGGAUUAACACAUUUACUUCUUUCUUUUAGGAAUUUACGCAAUGAUU